rnacentral:rRNA from 1 species
GAGGAAUAUUGGUCAAUGGGCGAGAGCCUGAACCAGCCAAGUCGCGUGAGGGAGUACUGCCCUAUGGGUUGUAAACCUCUUUUGUCGGGGAGCAAAAGCCGGACGUGUCCGGCUGUGAGAGUACCCGAAGAAAAAGCAUCGGCUAACUCC